GGCGGGUUGAUAGGGGUAAAUACAAAACCGAAAGGAAAUAGCCCCAGCCGUCUUUUCGCGGUAGUUGAGACCUGCCACCCUAUU
rfam:Moraxella bovoculi 237 MBO_237Contig22, whole genome shotgun sequence.